UAUUUUUUGUCUAUGUUAAAAUCCUCCUAUCCCAGCAUAAUAUGCACAGUCAACUACUGUAUAAUUAAGCCACUUGUAGGUUUAUUCCCUCCAAAAGUGUAAACACUGUGACUCUGAUGCUUUCAAAAGUGUUCUGGAAACCAGUUUGUCAUUAUUUUUGUAUAAUUUUGUUUCAUAAUACUAGUCGCACAGAAAUUAUACACUUCACAUUUGGGAUAACUAUUCCUUUAAUAUCACUUUGCUAUUUGGUUAGUUUCUGGCCUGUGUAGUUUAAGAACAAAAAGGAAGAUGAAGCACACAUUUAGAAUAAAUCCACUAAGCAAGGGAACUGUAUUAGCAUUACAGAGGCACAGUAGUGUGGGAUGAAAGCGGCUUUGUCCUGUGAGGCGUGAGCAGUGCACAGGUAGGGGAGAGAUGUGGUCUGACCCCGGAAUAGAGGGCAGGAGGCAGACAAACUGCUCACGCCCCACUCCUGUGCUCGCUGACCAUGAUGUGACCAUCACUGAGAGAGAAGCUGCUCUCUGAAGAUACCAAAAUGUCCCGGGGUGAGAUGCGGAGGGAUGAUAACGAUACGCACACACACACACAGCAGCACAGACGAGCGAUAAAUGUUUAUGCAUUUCCUCAAUAUCGGCUGCCUUUCAGAUCUGCAGAAGCGAGGUAAAAAAAAUUUAAUAAGUGAACAUCCUGACUUUGGAAGUGAAAAAUUACUUCUGAUUUUAUUUGGUUUGGUUGGAUUUACCUUUUCAUACUUCCAAAAUAAAACUUGAUUUUUACAUUUUGUGAAGAAAAUGCAAGUGGUUCUUGGUCGUGCAAAAGUUGCAACUGUGAUGCUAGGGGGUUGUGGGUAUUUGCUAGCAUGUUUCUUGGGCAGUUGCUAGGGUACUGCUACGUAUGUGAUUAGUAAGGUGUUCUGAGCGAGUUGCUAGGGUAUUGCUAGAUGGUUGCUAGGGUGUUCUGGGUGGCAGCUAGAUAGUUACUAGGUUGUUCUUGGGUGGUUGCUAGGUGGUUGCUAGGGUGUUCUGGGUGGCAGUUAGGUGGUUGCUAGGUUGUUCUGGGUGGUUGCUAGGGUAUUGCUAGGUUGCAAGGGUGUUCUGGGUGGCAGCUUGGUGGUUGCUAGUGUAUUGCUAAGUGGUUGCUAGGUUGCUAGGGUGUUCUGGGUUGCAGCUAGGUGGUUGCUAGGUUGUUCUGGGUGGUUGCUAGGUUAUUGCAAAGUGGUUACUUGGGUGUUCUUGUUGUAGUUGGGGUAUUGAUAGGUGGUUGAUAGGGUGUUCUGGGUGGUUGCUAGGGUAUUGCAAGGUGGUUGCUAGGAUGUUCUGGGUGGCAGCUAGGUGGUUGCUAGGUUGUUCUGGGUGGUUUCUAGGGUAUUACUAGGUUACUAGGGUGUUCUGGUUGGUUGCUAGGGUAUUACUAGGUGGUUGCUAGGGUGUUGUGGGUGGUAGCUACGGUAUUGCAAGGUGGCUGCUAAGGUGUUCAGGGUGGCUGCUAGGGUACUGCUAUGUUGUUGCAAGGGUGUUCUUGGAGGUUGAUAUGGUGUUAAAUAGUUGCAAGUGUGUUGUAGAUGAUUUUUAGGGUGUUGCAAUGUGGUUGCUAGGGUGUUCUGGUGGUUACUAGGACAUUGUUUGAUGGUUUCUAGGGUGUUCUAAGUGGUUGCUAGGGUGUUUUGAAUGGUUGCUAGAUGCGUAUUGGCACAUGUCAAAAGUGCCCAUGUAAGUCUAUAUGACUUUUUCACCUGCUUUAUUGUCCACCAGUCUGAUUGCUAAGAAAAGUAAUAGCACACCUCUACUUACCAAGCCACAUGAUUUGAGGUAUUAUUUCAUGUCUGUAGCACAAAUGGUGCAGGACGAGUCAUGCACCCAAGUUUAAUACUAUGUGGUAGGGAUCUGAACAUACCUCUAAACCUAUUAAUAAACAAUAUUAUUAGUGAUGCUUGCCUUAGCAAACACCACUAAUAAUCAAAACAUUUUCCCCAUUUGAAAUGUGUUACUGUAGGUCAAAAUCCUUUAAAUAUCUCCUCAAGUCAGCCUCAAGGGUUAGAGUAAUAUAAAUGUAUCUUAAUAGUAACCUUUUCAGUAGACUGUCUAAAAAAAUGUUUUUGCAGUUGAGUUUUGCAUUCAGUUCUCUUAUAUGGAUAAAUGUGGCACCACAAAUUUAAUUGGAAGCAAUGAGUCUCAGAUAGGGGAUUCAUUAGCUCAAAUCCCCCCUAAAUUGUAAUACUUCAGAGUAAAUUGAAAAUGCAGUACUUGAUGUUGAUUAGCCAAGAGUCUCCAGUGCAGUCUCACUCAUUUAUUACACAAGCUAGUCUGUACCGCAAUAGAGAAAUCACAUGACAUCUGUGUUAGUAUUCUAACAGAUCUUGUGUACAGAUAUUUACUCUGUUCAGAUUAUCAUCAGUUCCAUUUUCGUUGAUUUUCGAAACCAUGACAGAAAUUUUCAAGUUUUGGUGUAUACUGUAUUUCCAGUUCAUGUUUUAAUAUUAUCAUUGUGUCUACUGCACAAUGCAUCAACAUAAAUGGUAAUACCAUUUAUGAAUACCAUGCAAAUUACCACUGCAUAUUAAUACAGAAACCAGGUGUAUCUCACAGUACCAUGGUAUUACCAUCCGAUACCAUUAUUGCACCAUGGUAGCAUCCAGGGAGGUCUAUAAUACCUGGAGAAAGCCAUUCAUCUCAAUGACAGUUGUUCGGUUGUUGCUCGUAACACUGGAAUUAUGUGAUUUUAUUUCUACUAUUUUUGCUCAUGUGCUGUUGUGCUGCUGGAUACAGUUAUUUUGUUUGUUUGUUUUUUCUCUCUUAAGGGCCGUUUAGACAGAAUGCGUUCUCAUGCUAAAAAACCUAGACAAAUGGAACAGUGCAACGCAUCGAGGUGCCUCAACACGUGUUUUUAAAAGUUGAAGUUCUAUUAACUAGAUACGAAGUUGUAAAAAUGCAGCUCUCACGCGCGAGACAC